GCUAAGCUAUGUGUGCUGAUGUGACUGGUAACCAGUAGUACAAGUUGUGUAGCAUAAAAGGGGCUGACACCGAGAAAUCGGGGAUCAUUUUUCCUUUUUUUUUCUCUUUUUGGAUGAUUCUCAGCUGCACACAGCACAUUCAGGGAAAUUCACUCACUGAAGAUAUCUUUACCAGCUGGUGCUGCAGACCAAACCAGCAACCAACUCACAAGUCAAGGGAAUCAUGAGGGUUCAGAGUGCCUGUUUGCUGCUGCUGCUGCUCUGUGCUGCUGUGCUCUCGCAAACUUACGAUGAUUUCAAAAGGAAACACAUCCUUCCAUCGUGUGACGACAUGAUGAAAAAUGUCAAUGGCAACAAUCAGUGCAAGCCAAUAAACACGUUUAUCAUGGAGGAGGCAGAAAAAGUUAAGGCUUUGUGUAAAGGUAAAAAAAAUGAAAACAUCGUCCACAAAUUUGAUGUUAUUGACUGUAAGAUGAAAAAUAAAAAGCCUUGUAAAUACAAGUCUCUAGCACUCAAAGGCAAGGAGAAGAAGAUAAAAUGUGAAAAUGGCCUACCUGUACAUCUUGGGCAAGGCAAAUAUGAAGAUUUUGAUUAUGACAUUGAAAAUUAAAGAUUGUUGAGGUUUUUUCAGUUUUCUUUGUAUUACUGUACGAUCUUUACCUUCCAGUAUAAAGUGCCUUGACGAACUGUUGUGAUUUGGCACUAUUUUAAAAAAACUGAAUUGAACUGAACAAAGACUCAGAAAAAUUUUACCUGUGCCGCAAACCUUUUAAUGUUGCCUUUGCUGAGUUUCGAUCAUUUGUUUUUGAUUGUUUCAUUGUUUAUUCAUGCAUUUUCGUACUUCUUUUUUGUAACUUUCAUGGGUCAAAAAAUGUUAAAAAUGUAUUUGCAAGUGAUGAAAUUUGCAAAUUAGUAUUUUUCAGUUUAAUCUGCAUAUUUCUGAAAAACAAUCCACUUUCAGAGUUUGCUUUAAAGUGCAAAAUUAGGAUUUCUGAGUGGUUUUCUCAUCGGUUCUCCUGAACGCUGUGUAUGUCUGGUCUGCAGCUACCUGAAAGGCUUGUUUGAAGUUGUUUUUUGAUCAUUCGAAAUCUGCUUGUGUGAUAAAUAAAGAGGCAGAAAAACCUUA